AUACUUACCUGGCAGGGGAGAUACCAUGAUCACGAAGGUGGUUUUCCCAGGGCGAGGCUUAUCCAUUGCACUCCGGAUGUGUUGACCCCUGCGAUUUCCCCAAAUGUGGGAAACUCGACUGCAUAAUUUGUGGUAGUGGGGGACUGCGUUCGCGCUCUCCCCUG
ensembl:snRNA U1 U1 spliceosomal RNA